GGUUACUGCUAUCGGUGUUCGCUUAAGCCAUGCGAGUCAUAUGUUCUCCGGAACAUGACGUACUGCUCAGUAACACGUGGAUAACCUGCCCUUGGGUCCGGCAUAACCCCGGGAAACUGGGGAUAAUUCCGGAUAACGCACAUAUGCUGGAAUGCUUUAUGCGUCAAAUGGAUUCGUCCGCCCAAGGAUGGGUCUGCGGCCUAUCAGGUAGUAGUGGGUGUAAUGUACCUACUAGCCUACGACGGGUACGGGUUGUGAGAGCAAGAGCCCGGAGAUGGAUUCUGAGACAUGAAUCCAGGCCCUACGGGGCGCAGCAGGCGCGAAAACUUUACAAUGCGGGAAACCGUGAUAAGGGGACACCGAGUGCCAGCAUCAUAUGCUGGCUGUCCGGGCGUGUAAAAUACACCUGUUAGCAAGGGCCGGGCAAGACCGGUGCCAGCCGCCGCGGUAACACCGGCGGCCCGAGUGGUGAUCGUGAUUAUUGGGUCUAAAGGGUCCGUAGCCGGUUUGGUCAGUCCUCCGGGAAAUCUGACGGCUUAACCGUUAGGCUUUCGGGGGAUACUGCCAGACUUGGAACCGGGAGAGGUAAGAGGUACUACAGGGGUAGGAGUGAAAUCUUGUAAUCCCUGUGGGACCACCUGUGGCGAAGGCGUCUUACCAGAACGGGUUCGACGGUGAGGGACGAAAGCUGGGGGCACGAACCGGAUUAGAUACCCGGGUAGUCCCAGCCGUAAACGAUGCUCGCUAGGUGUCAGGCAUGGCGCGACCGUGUCUGGUGCCGCAGGGAAGCCGUGAAGCGAGCCACCUGGGAAGUACGGCCGCAAGGCUGAAACUUAA
rnacentral:rRNA from 1 species